AACGAACGCUGGCGGCAGGCCUAACACAUGCAAGUCGAACGUGAAGCCGCCUUCGGGUGGUGGAAAGUGGCGGACGGGUGAGUAACGCGUGGGAACGUGCCUUUCGGUUCGGAAUAACCCAGGGAAACUUGGGCUAAUACCGGAUACGCCCUUCGGGGGAAAGAUUUAUCGCCGAAAGCUCGGCCCGCGUCGGAUUAGCUAGUUGGUAGGGUAAUGGCCUACCAAGGCGACGAUCCGUAGCUGGUCUGAGAGGAUGACCAGCCACACUGGGACUGGGACACGGCCCAGACUCCUACGGGAGGCAGCAGUGGGGAAUAUUGGACAAUGGGCGAAAGCCUGAUCCAGCCAUGCCGCGUGGGUGAAGAAGGCCCUAGGGUUGUAAACCCCUUUCAGCGGGGAAGAUAAUGACGGUACCCGCAGAAGAAGCCCCGGCUAACUCCGUGCCAGCCGCCGCAGUAAAAC
rnacentral:rRNA from 1 species